AUCUGCUCCACCACCUCUGAGUUCAGACAGUUCUCCUGCAGAGAGCAGAGGAGCCUGACUUAAACGAUGCACUGCUGAAGGGUUACUAGGGUGAACAUGGUUUUAAAAUGAGGACUGACGUCUUUGCAUGUAGCAGCUUCUAGUGCAAUCUCCAACUACGUGGAUGGAGUUUCUCCAUCAGGUUGCAAGGAAGUUUCCUACCUUGAUGUCCUGGAUGAGCUGCUGGGUCGGUGUGUCGAUGGGAGCUUUGGUGUCGAUGACGUUCUGGAUAGAGUUGGCCCAGCGUGUGGCCUCAUUGAGCAGCUUACAGUAGAGACGGUACGAGUGUUUACGGCCAUACACAAUCACAUUCCAGUAGCCUGUCAGGAGGACCACAUGAGGAGGAACAGAAAGAAACACGUCACGUCAAAGGAACAAUUGUUUCUGACUGUGAGAGAAAGGUCCUGUAAGGACACAGACAUAUCACGGUUAAAUUAAGGCAUUUGGCACACAUACUUCAAUCUCCCAUUACAGAUGCAAGACACCAGAAUAAAAUGUCAGUAAAUCAA